rnacentral:lncRNA from 1 species
AUCUUGACGUUGAGGAGCUCCUGGUACUCCCUCAGGUGCCGCGCCAUCUCCUCUUUUAGCUGUCGCAGCUCCUCCUCGAGCCGCGCAGCGCCCGCCUGGUAGCCCCCCGCCUCCAGGGCGAACUGCUCCUCCAGCUCUCUCAACUGCCUGAGCAGCGCCUCGUUCUGGGGUAGGAGAGUGGAAGGGGCCAGUUGCAGAACAUUUCAUCGUCCGCUCCCCGGGCCCGAGCGCGCAGCUUCGUACUCACCGUGCCGCGCAGCCCGUCCACCUCGCACGUUAGACUCUGGAUCUGGCGUCGGGACUCGUUCAUCUCCUGCUUGGCCUGGCGCAGGGCCUCGUGGUUCCGGUUGGCAGCGUCGGACAGGUCCGCGUACUGAGAAGUGGGGGUAACCCAGGCUUUAGUCGGCUGGGACGCGCGACACCACCCCAGCGUCCCGCCUCGCAGGCCCUCCCGGCUCUUGCACCUUGGACUUGUACCACUCCUCCGCCUCCUGCAGGUUCUUCGCGGCGAUGCUCUCGUACUGCGCGCGGAUGUCCCUCAGCGCUGCCGUCAGCUCGGGCUUCACCGUGGCUUCCACCUCCACCUGCUGCACCUGCUGGCUCUCCACACUCACCUGCAGGUCUCGCAGCUCCUACGGCCGGGAGCAGGCAGAGGAUGGACAGCGGCGCAAAUUCCACGCGGGCCACGCAGUUCGUGCACAGAAAAGAGAAGAAACGCUUGAACGAACAGAAGUGGGCGCCAGGGAGGGCAGGGCGUACAGCCCUGCGCCCCCGCGGGCGCGAGACCAGAGGCCAGGUUUCGGAGGGCGAUGCCUCCGCUCCACCCG